CGGCGGACGGGUGAGUAACACGUGGAUAACCUACCUAUAAGACUGGGAUAACUUCGGGAAACCGGAGCUAAUACCGGAUAAUAUAUUGAACCGAAUGGUUCAAUAGUGAAAGACGGUUUUGCUGUCACUUAUAGAUGGAUCCGCGCCGCAUUAGCUAGUUGGUAAGGUAACGGCUUACCAAGGCAACGAUGCGUAGCCGACCUGAGAGGGUGAUCGGCCACACUGGAACUGAGACACGGUCCAG
rnacentral:rRNA from 1 species